rnacentral:lncRNA from 1 species
CCAGCUCGUUUUCUUUUGAUUUCUCUCCCGUGCAAAGCCACUAAUGCCCUCAUUUAUUCAUCGCAUAAACACACACUGGCAUCUGUUCCAUGCCAUGGGCACAGUGAUGAAGAGGACAGGUUCCCUGCCAUCCGAAGCUCGGGCCGAGAAGGUGGCUGCACAAGGCCAACUGACCAGGGCACUUGGAUGGGCAAGGUUUGCCUACCCUUGAGGGUUUACUAAGAAGGGUGGAAUUGGCACCACAAAGCCACCUCAGUCCUAUCCCAUGCCUGCCCUACUAGCUAAGCAGAAGACAGGAAAGCAUGGAAGAGAAAAUCUGGGGGAUUUGGAGUCAUUCAUCUGCUAAAUGCAGACUGCAGGGGUUCUGUCCCUCUCCUCCUCCACGCCACACACAUGUGCCCCUGUGAGAGCCACUCCGGCACCUUCCACACUGAGGCCAUCGAAGACUCAUCAAGUGUUGGCCAGAAACUUUGGCAGUGACAGCCAAAAAAUUGAAAAGGACAAGAGCAUUUGGCAAGCAGACUCAUUUGUCCUCAUCCCUCUUCCUCCUCCUAUUUCUUGACCCCAGAAGAGGAGGCAGGCUGGAAGUGUCUCCAAAAUAGGUGGCUGCAGUUCCCUGUUGUGCAAGGAGAUGUGGGAAGAUAGAAAUCCAGAGUGUCCCAGGAACCCAAAUGCCCAGAAAGAUGGAAAAUUUUAUCAGACUGUUGAUGGAUCUCACACUCCGAUGCCAUGGUGGA